ACGAGGCCUCUGAGAACAGCACCCUGCGGGAGGGAGCUGUCUUGGCCUUCCCUGCUGUCCAGAGGCUUGGCGCCUCCCCCACCCCCGGCUCAGGGCCAGGCCUUGGCUUGAGGACAGCCCUGCGGAACAUGACCAGAGGACCCAGGCACCCGGUCACAAGAAGCCCCUCAGGGCAUGCCCUGCCUCCAGGGAACUGCCUGGGGGCUCCUCUGGUGAAGGUGCCCUGACACCCAAGGACAGGCAGCGUCCCCCUGUGGGCAGCAUGGCCAUGAGAGGACGAGGAGGAAGACUGACUCCAAGGUGAAUGCUGGCACUCCGCCUCUGCCCCUCCCUCCCUCCCCUGCAGGAAUGACGGGGAGGACCCCCUAAGGGACACAUUUCAUGGCUCCCCCAGGACUUGGCAUGGCCCUGCUGUGCUCCUCACUGUGCCUGGGGACGGCUCAGGCUGAGUCACAGAUGUGGGUGGCUGCUGGGCAGUGGUGGGCACAAGUAACCUGGGGGGCCCAUGAACUCACCUUGUGUCAGAGAGGGAGGUGUGGAGGCCCUUGGCUUCAGUCACUGCCAUCUCCAAGGUCCAUCACAGUUGGACUUGAGGCCACUCUUCUUUGCAGGAGGGGCCUCUGGGGAUUGUAUUCAGGGGCACUCGACCACUGAGCCACACCCCAGCCCUGUUUGGUAUUUUAAUUAGAGACAGGGUGUCACUGAGUUGCUCAGCACCUUGCUCUUGCUGAGGCUGGCUCUGAACUCCUGGUCCUCCUGCCUCAGCCUCCCGAGACCAGGUGUGCGACACUCUGUCUGCUUGAAAGCACUUUGAAAUGUUUAUAAUCAAGUGCACGUCGCCAAACUAGCCAUGGGGGGCAUCUGCUCGGUGCCACCGGGUGUCCACGUCCUGUGCAGCGGCCACCUCUUCAGGUUCCAGAGCUGUCUCAUCAUUCCCAAAGACCCCCCACACGAGGCCAACAGGGUCCACUGGGACUUCCCUCUCCACCCCUCAGGCCCACAGAAUGGCCACCAUGGUGGUCAGGAGUGAGGGUGGGGCCGGGAUGAGCCUGGCUCCUCAGGGUGCUGUUCUUGCCCCCUCCUGUCCAAUCAGGGUGAAGGGAGGGGUGGAAGCUAGGGUGGCUCUCCUGUGUCCUUUGAUUUGCCCCCAUAGGGGUCAGUGUGGGGCAGGCUGGGAGAGCACUCUGUGCCCUCCAGGUGGGGUGCCCGGCCCAGGGCAGCACGCCCCAUGGCCUCCUCUGCCCCGUUCCCUGGUGUGUGCCCGCCCUCCGUGGCACAUGCCCACUGGCCAGCUGAGUCUUCUAUCUGGUGGGCCCUCGGGUGCCACCAGGCCUGACUGAGGCCACAGGUCUGCACCGGCCUUGUCCCUGCAUGGCCACUCCCACGGAUGGGAACGCCACUUCCUUCCUGGCAGCUGUGGCCACGCGAGGGAGCAAGCCAGUGCCUGCGUGUCCUGACCAGCUGCCUGGUGAUCCGCACCGGCCUCUGUGGGAGCUGGGUUCAGGAGGCUCAGCCAGGUGGCUGGCCUGCCCUGGGUCCAGGUUGGUCAGAGCUGCAAGGGGGUGGCUGAGGUGGCCCCUGGUGGACGCUCCCCACUGGCCCAGUGCCACAUGCUGCCUGACACCAGCCUGUGCGUGGACCUCCCGGGGGCUCCCGGCCCCGGGUGGCUCUCUCCAGCUGGCGCCCUGUGUUGGUGGCUGCUUCUGCUUCAUUCAUCCUGGUGCCCUCCCUGUGGCAUGCUCAGCCACAGGGCGCAGGACACACCCUUGCCACCCGGCCGAGGGGGUUCCCAGAGACUCCUGGUGCCCAUGGCCGUGCUUGCUGGGAGCAGCACCAGGCUCGCCAACCUGCGAGAAAAACAGCUUUCUGCUUCUACAAAUGCGUGUCCUGCUUUUGUCCUUUCCUGGUGACCCAGUUCUGCGUUUCUCAUGGUGGCCUCUGCUCAUGGGACAACACUGCAGGAGGAGCCCAUGGUGGCUGGAGACCCUUCUGGGAGUCUGCAGAGGCAGCGUCACAGCGGUGGCCCUGCAGAGGGCCCUGGUCCCCCCAGUGCCAACUCUGGUGUGAACACUGCUCCAUGGCCAAUGCGAGGGGAGGCAGAGCAAGGACCCUGUGCUGUAUCUCUGCAGCUCGUCUCUCCAGGCACCACCCACCACCUGUGAGAGCGCAUUGCUAGGGAGUUGGUGUGACUGUCCCCAAAAGAGCUCUUCUGACCACAGGAAGCAGGACAGAGACAGGGGUACUUGGAGGGUCACUGUGGGAGCCUCUGGGGCCCAAGACCCUCAGGCUGAGACAGCCCACCAGCCCCUGCACCCACUGUGCAUGCUCACCUACAAAAGGCCAUCAAUUCUGGCUUCUUUUGGCCUCUAAGAACUAUUAAUAGUAAUAAUUAUUAACAAGACUUGGGGAUCUGCCAGGUUUAACAAUAUCACCUCACUGAACGCGUUAGCGCUGCUGACUGCUGUCACUAAGAGCCCUCAGAGAAGGCCCUGCAGGAGGGACGGUGUGGCCCCGGCCUGGCAGAGGAGAACACCGAGUGCAGAGACGCCGGCCGGCCCCAGGGCCCAGCUUCCCCUGCGCCCCGCACUCCACCACCGGCUGGCUGUGGGCUGGCUUUCUCAACCCCACUCAGUGUCCCACGGGGAGGGUGACGGAGCCUGCAGAUAGUCCUGGAGAAUGACUUUGGUCAGGGGAGGGGUGUUCUGAUGGCUGGUGUGCAGGGUCACUGUGAGCUAGCUUUGGCAUGAGGGGCGUGAGGUCAGGCAGGGGACGUGAUGGCCAAGUUUGCUCCAGAGACCUCCACCGUGAGUCUUACUCGAGUGUAGUCCUGCCACCACGGGGCAGAGACAGAGUGGUCUUCAUGUCCAGCCCCACCCCCCAGUAGACUGAGAAUGGGGGGGCUCCCAGGAACCUCAGUGCCUUUGCAGGCUCCGUGUCCCUGGUGCUGUUCCCUGUGGGCCAGUGCCCCCUGGAUGGUCCUCCCAUCUCUACCUGUGCAUGAAUGUCCCCCAGCCCCUGGUCUUGGCAUCGGAAGGAAAGCCUGGGCUGGGACCACUCUUUGGGAGGCCCGUCCCCACACUUGUCCUGGCUCCUCUGCCCAGGCUCUGCCAUUCCCAGGCUCUGAUGGCAUUAGGAAGGUCUUUACAGAUGUGGUGACGUCAUGGAUUUCUGGACAAGGUCGUGCUGGGUCUGGUGGUCCUGAACCAGUGACAGACAGCCGAGAGGCGCAGGGAAAGCAGCCGCAGGACGACCGCAGAGUGACCUUCACAGGCCGGGCACUGCCUGGGACUGCCCACGCUGGGGAGAGAUGGGCAAGUCCCCUGGGAUUCCCAAGGGACUGGCCCACCAGGCCGUGCGCCUCAGGCUGCCAGCCUUGGAGACUGGGGGAGUCUGUGCCCGAUGCUGAGCCACGCUGUGUGGGGACGGCCCUGAGACCCACAGCUUCCCACCAGACCGCCCCAGGCGGGAGCUGUGACCCUAAGUGGCAUCCGUCACAGUCCUAAGUGGCAUCAGGAGGCCUGGGGACAUGAGGGCGGAGGGCAGUGCGUCUGUCCCUCCCGCCUCAGCAGCUGGCCCAGCCGCAGCAGACCCUCUGCCUGAGCUGGACGCCCUGGCCUUCGGGAGACUCUGGUCCAUCCGGCCAGCUCCAGGGCCAGCCUGCAAGGCUGGGAGUUAAAGGGCCGAGAACACGGCUCCAGCUGCCGCCUCUGGAGACACGGAGGGAGCUGGCGGGUGGCGGGUGCGCCCUGGACUGCAGCAGGAUGAAGCCCUGCUCUCCCUCCGCCCCCCUCCCCGCCCUCCCCACCGGCUCCCCCACUGCCCCCCCUCCUGGGCACAAGCUCUGCAGGUCCCUGGGGAGGAGAGAAGGAGCGUCCCAGGCCACCCAAGGAGAGGUCCUCUGACCAGCGUCUGGCUGUGAGGUCAGGGGUCUCCAGCACGGGCCACGGGGCCACGUCCCAGGCUGGAUGCUCUCUGUUUCUCUCCCAGCUCUGGGAACUCAGGACAGGUCGGGGACAAGGGGCAGGAGAGCCCUGCUCCUCGGCCUGGGUGGCAGCGCGGAGGGAGCUGGGCAGCUGAGCUGGGGUCAGAUCAAAGCCUAAGGUCCCAAAUAUGUACUUCUGGAAAAACUAUGGAGCAGCUUCUCUUUUUAAAUAUUUAUUUUUAGUUGUA